CUCAGUUUUGAACUGAGGCAUAAAAGGGUAGGGUUUUGCCUCGGUUCAAAGUUAACUGAAGCAGUAGGGUUUUUUUAUUUUUUUUUUCGUAGGACUUUAUGCCUUGGUUCCCUCUGAACUCUACUGCCUCGGUUGGGACUUGAACUGAGGCAGUAAGGUCUUUUUUAUUUUUAUUUUUUGCUUCUUUCGUAGGCCUUUAUGCCUCGAUUAGGGCUAAACCGAUGCCAUAGGGGGUUUUCUACCUCGGUUAUGGUCACAA
rnacentral:lncRNA from 1 species